rnacentral:lncRNA from 3 species
ACGAAAAGCCCAUUUGACAGCCCAACAACCCAACCUUUUGCCUUCCCCAAGCUGUUCGCUCCCCUUCCCCACGUAGAUGCGGCGCCGCAUGGUUCCCCUUCCCCUGCGCUGCUUCCCCUCCACCCGCUCAACUCCCUCCCUCCCUCCCUCCCUCCCCGUGCGUCGGUUCCCUUACCUGGCCAGCAGUACACCAGGGAGCUCCUCACUCCCAUAGGCUGUGGCUCCCUGAUGUCCCUGUCAUAUGUUAAACGGAAUGGCUGAAUGAUGAUCAUAUUAUAAGGAUGGAUCUUUCUAUAUCCUUCAACCCUGUUGUUGUCAUCAAAUGGUGGCUUUUUCAUGUUAAGAGCGAAUUCAAGGUGGACUGGUGUUUUUUCAUAAUUCGUAAGAGCUGGUAAUUAUCACCUCAAAUUUGUUCAUUUUUAUGUUGGUUUCUUAAUCGUAUUGAAAUAGUUAAAUUUUACUUAUACCUUCACACUAU